GCUCUGUUGUUAGGGAAGAACAAGUGCGAGAGUAACUGCUCGCACCAUGACGGUACCUAACCAGAAAGCCACGGCUAACUACGUGCCAGCAGCCGCGGUAAUACGUAGGUGGCAAGCGUUGUCCGGAAUUAUUGGGCGUAAAGGGCUCGCAGGCGGUUUCUUAAGUCUGAUGUGAAAGCCCCCGGCUCAACCGGGGAGGGUCAUUGGAAACUGGGAAACUUGAGUGCAGAAGAGGAGAGUGGAAUUCCACGUGUAGCGGUGAAAUGCGUAGAGAUGUGGAGGA
rnacentral:rRNA from 1 species